rnacentral:rRNA from 1 species
AUUGAACGCUGGCGGCAGGCCUAACACAUGCAAGUCGAGCGAGCGGCGGACGGGUGAGUAAUGCAUGGGAAACUGGCUUAUGGGGGGGGAUAACUACGGGAAACUGUAGCUAAUACCGCGUACCAUCGGAUGAGCCCAGGGGGGGUUAGGUAGUUGGUGGGGUAAAGGCUCACACAGGCGACGAUCCCUAGCUGGUCUGUGAGGAUGACCAGCCACACUGGAACUGAGACACGGUCCAGACUCCGACGGGAGGCAGCAGUGGGGAAUAUUGCACAAUGGGCGCAACCCUGACGCAGCCAUGCCGCGUGUAUGAAGAAGGCCUUAGGGUUGUAAAGUACUUUCAGUGGGGAGGCGUUACCUGCAGAAGAAGCACCGGCUAACUCCGUGCCAGCAGCCGCGGUAAUUC